GUGAUCAUAUCAGCACUAAUGCACCGGAUCCCAUCAGAACUUUGCCGUUAAACGUGCUUGAACGAGAGUAGUACUAGGAUAAGUGAUCCUCUAGGAAGUCCUCGUGUUGCACCCC